CUAACUGCAAACGUUGCCUUCAUAGAUCUAUCGGAAACGAGUGUCUGCACUGAGGUUACCAUGGAAAUACUGCUUGCGAUUUCAUUACGCGCUCAGAACGUAUAGCUUGUGCCCGACGUAACGACGCAAAGCUUUGUCAUGACCAAUUAUACGCCUGCUUAUUUGAAAAUGCGUCAUAUUGUCAAAUAUGUAUUUUCCAUCACCGCAAUAACACGUACCGGAGGUUCCUAAAUUCUCCUCCUGAAGGUGGCAGUAUCCGCGCGCCCUCUCUCGACGCGCACGGGCACUCGGCCACUGCGGCGGGGGCGCGCUUGGAGCUCAUCGAAAUACCACAGCAGCGUCAGCCGGUGGUGCAUUUCGGUGAAGAUUGCAAAGUGGAGACAUUUGGAGUCUGUGGCGCAUCGUCGUCGUCGUGUGAUGCUGGCCGACGGCUGAGGGUGUCCCGCCACCGUUUCGAAGCUGGGGAAGCUCAAGGUGGUGCGGCGGCAGUUGCUGCAAAGGUAUGAACACCAGCCCUUUGUCUCCUGCCUGGCCGGCUUGUACGGUUGCCAAUGGCGACGAUACCAGAGAGCUCGAGUCCAGCCGGGAGAAUGCUGCUGCAGC